GAAUAUUUUCAACACACCACUGAACAGUGCACUGACCCACAGGAACCCUCCUACCAACACUGCAAAAAGAAGAAUUCUGUGUGGACUCCUCCUGAUGGUCGAAAUGACAGACUGGAUUUCGACAGAGAGUGCUUCCGCAGAUGUGCACAGAUCUUGGAAGAGCAAACGUCUGA